rnacentral:rRNA from 1 species
CAGUCGCCGCGGGAAUACGAAGGGUGCAAGCGUUACUCGGAAUUACUGGGCGUAAAGCGUGCGUAGGUGGUGGUUUAAGUCCGUUGUGAAAGCCCCGGGCUCAACCUGGGAACUGCAUCCAAAACUGGCGAGCUAGAGUAUGGUAGAGGGUGGUGGAAUUUCCUGUGUAGCGGUGAAAUGCGUAGAUAUAGGAAGGAACAUCAGUGGCGAAGGCGACCACCUGGACUGAUACUGACACUGAGGUGCGAAAGCGUGGGGAGCAAACAGGAUUAGAGACCCCUGUAGUCCCUGUCUCUUAUAC